AUUGAACGCUGGCGGCAUGCUUUACACAUGCAAGUCGAACGGUAACAGGCCGCAAGGUGCUGACGAGUGGCGAACGGGUGAGUAAUGCAUCGGAACGUGCCCAGUCGUGGGGGAUAACUGCUCGAAAGAGCAGCUAAUACCGCAUACGAUCUAUGGAUGAAAGCGGGGGGCCGUAAGGCCUCGCGCGAUUGGAGCGGCCGAUGUCAGAUUAGGUAGUUGGUGGGGUAAAGGCUCACCAAGCCAACGAUCUGUAGCUGGUCUGAGAGGACGACCAGCCACACUGGGACUGAGACACGGCCCAGACUCCUACGGGAGGCAGCAGUGGGGAAUUUUUCGCAAUGGGCGCAAGCCUGACGAAGCAACGCCGCGUGGGGGAUGAAGGUCUUCGGAUUGUAAACCCCUGUCGACUGGGACGAAGGUACCCGACCCAAUACGUCGGAGUAUUGACUGUACCGGUGGAGGAAGCCACGGCUAACUCUGUGCCAGCCGCCGCGGUAAAAC
rnacentral:rRNA from 1 species